rnacentral:rRNA from 1 species
CCUACGGGAGGCAGCAGUGGGGAAUAUUGCACAAUGGGCGCAAGUCUGAUGCAGCCAUGCCGCGUGUGUGAAGAAGGCCUUCGGGUUGUAAAGCACUUUCAGCGGGGAGGAAGGCGGUGAGGUUAAUAACCUCAUCGAUUGACGUUACCCGCAGAAGAAGCACCGGCUAACUCCGUGCCAGCAGCCGCGGUAAUACGGAGGGUGCAAGCGUUAAUCGGAAUUACUGGGCGUAAAGCGCACGCAGGCGGUCUGUCAAGUCGGAUGUGAAAUCCCCGGGCUCAACCUGGGAACUGCAUUCGAAACUGGCAGGCUAGAGUCUUGUAGAGGGGGGUAGAAUUCCAGGUGUAGCGGUGAAAUGUGUAGAGAUCUGGAGGAAUACCGGUGGCGAAGGCGGCCCCCUGGACAAAGACUGACGCUCAGGUGCGAAAGCGUGGGGAGCAAACAGGAUUAGAUACCCCUGUAGUC